ACCAAUUCUAAAAACUACAUCUCUAAUCUAUAGUUUCCUAACCAGCAUAUGCGUGGGCCCGUAAUAAAUUCGCUCCCACCUUUCUCUCAUCUCCCAUCUCCCUCCGUCCUCCUCCCCCUUCUCUCCCAGCACUGACUCUGACCAGCAGGCUAAUGGCCGACGGAGGCGGAGAGCUAGAUGGGGCGCGCGGUUGUGGCCGGGGCCACGCUAGCGAUCCGGGCGCACGUCGCGCGGCAAGGCCGCGGCAAACUGGCGUCGCAAGCAGGUUCGAAUUCCUCCAACAACGGGAGAUCACUGAUUUGGGCAAGAAGCAGCUUGAUCCGGUGGGGGAAAACAACUACUUAGACGAAGUGAAGUUCAAUCUUGAUAGGGAAGGUGCCAAUUUGAGUGGAGAAGAGCUAGAUCCCGGUAGGAAAAGUCAGCGAUUCACGCAAGUAUGAGCUGGAUUCGCGAGCUGCUGCAGCAAGCAGUCUUGCGGGUGCUUCACGGCGGCGGGUUCAUGUCAGAUUUGGAGGCAUUCACGCCCAUGCUGGUAACUCGCCGGCGGUGAGUCCGUAGCUAUACACGGCGGCAUAGUCAGUAUGCGCGAGCACGACAAGAGCUCCCCGGCGAGCACGGCAGUGAGCUACAGCGGGUGGUAGCAUUGGGCUCCCAUGGCGCGCUCUACGCCGGGCUCCAGGCAGUGGGCCUACACAGCUGGUGGAGAAGAAAUGCCCGCAGUCCCAACGCACUGCUCGGCCGUGUCUUGCUCGUUAGAGAUUGUGUCAACACCGUUUUCUGCAUGCGACACGGUUUCUAUAUUUUUUUCUUAUCUCUCCUUAUUAAUUUGGUUGCUACAUCAGAUUUUUGUUUAUGUGGCAGUGUAAUUAAUUCUAUAAAGGGUCGGGACUAUCGUAAGGCUA